UUACGGCCACAUCACGUUGAAGUACCGGUUCCCGUACGAUUACUAAAGUUAAGCAACGUCGAGCCUGGCCAGUACCUAUAUGAAUGACUGCUUGAGAAUACCAGGUGUUGUAAG